rnacentral:sRNA from 1 species
AGUCGCUGCACAGUCUGUCUCUUCGCCGGUUCCCGAUCCCGUGGAUCCUACUUCUCUGUCGCCCGCGGUUCGCCGCCCCGCUCGCCGCCGCGAUGCCAGUGUUUCAUACGCGCACGAUCGAGAGCAUCCUGGAGCCGGUGGCACAGCAGAUCUCCCACCUGGUGAUAAUGCACGAGGAGGGCGAGGUGGACGGCAAAGCCAUUCCUGACCUCACAGCGCCCGUGGCCGCCGUGCAGGCGGCCGUCAGCAACCUCGUCCGGGUUGGAAAAGAGACUGUUCAAACCACUGAGGAUCAGAUUUUGAAGAGAGAUAUGCCACCAGCAUUUAUUAAGCAUUCAGGCCUCAGUGAAGACGGCCCGAGAACUCACACCCCAGGUGGUCUCGGCUGCUCGUAUCUUACUUAGGAACCCUGGAAAUCAAGCUGCUUAUGAACAUUUUGAGACCAUGAAGAACCAGUGGAUCGAUAAUGUUGAAAAAAUGACAGGGCUGGUGGACGAAGCCAUUGAUACCAAAUCUCUGUUGGAUGCUUCAGAAGAAGCAAUUAAAAAAGACCUGGACAAGUGCAAGGUAGCUAUGGCCAACAUUCAGCCUCAGAUGCUGGUUGCUGGGGCAACCAGCAUUGCUCGUCGGGCCAACCGGAUCCUGCUGGUGGCUAAGAGGGAGGUGGAGAAUUCCGAGGAUCCCAAGUUCCGUGAGGCUGUGAAAGCUGCCUCUGAUGAAUUGAGCA